rnacentral:piRNA from 1 species
UAGGUGACAGCGAUAAAGGAUAGGUGGAC